rnacentral:tRNA from 1 species
GGGCUGGGGCUCAGUGGCAGAGUGCUUGCCUAACAUGCCUGAGGCACUGGGUUUGAUCCUCAGCACCACA